rnacentral:miRNA from 1 species
UUGCAUAGAUUGUCCGAACA